AUGGUUUCCCAGUACAACCCUGUAGAUCAUCAAGUCCAGAUGGAGCAUUACAAUAUGAUAAGGAAUCAUUCCUGGAUUAUGAAGGUCGUGGGAGCCUUGGGAUGCACGGACUUCCUUCAGCAACGUUGGCGGAUGAAGUCUUGCUCCUCAUCGUUGAGCAUUACAAAGUUAGUGCUCAAGUAUGUGAAAGCUGGGUGGGAGCAUCACAUAAGAGAUGUUUCCAGUUACAGGAAGUUCAAUGACAAUAGGGGCCAGUUUACUCUUGAGUGCCAAAGAUGCUACCAGGAACUGGGAUGGAGCUUGGAGGGGGCCUUUGACGAGAGUGUUCUUCUCUGGCAUCUCGCCACGGAUUUCUGCUACUACAUCAAGGGUGGAUCUUAUUCUCACGACGGAUCGUGGUGCACGCAAGAUUCAUGUCCUGCUUGGUGUGAAAAGUCUGAUCAUCACAAGAGGGCUGUCCAGUGCAGAGAAAUGUCCAACUACCUGAUGUACCUACUGUUUGUGAAUCCUGAGAUGUUAAUGGCAGGCACCAGAAGGAACCUUUUCACGACUGCCUACGACGAACUGAAGGGCAUCAUUGUCCAGGGAGACAAGCUAGAAGGAGGAGAACUCACCCGGAGUAUAAUUGCUGCGGUGGAUGGUGGUAAAGGAUCCCCUGAACAGGGAGGCAUGAUCCGUGACGCUUGGUUUAUUUCCAAAGUGCUGUUGGGUGUGCCUGAAAAGAUGAUGUGGGAUGUGAUAGAAGGUGUGUGGGUGGAGAUGCUGUGCUUCUCUGCCGCUAGGUGCAGAGGCUACCUGCACGCCAAGGGUCUGGCCACAGGCGUGGAGUACCUCACCUAUGUCUGGCUCCUAUUGUACUACAUGGGGAUGGAGAAUUUGGCAGCCAAACUGCAGAGGGCGGAUCAUCAUUAUCACCACAACGGAGGAGCGCAUGGGGAAGAUCCUUCAACUUCUCGCUUCAGCAGGGCUGCCACUACCCAAGAGGAAGCUGCUGGUCCAUCAAGAUCAAGUGGAACCUACAAAGAACAUGCUGAAGGUCAAUCCGCUGGUUACCAGGGCAGCAGUGCCACUGGGGAAGAAAUCGUCUAA
rnacentral:rRNA from 1 species